rnacentral:tRNA from 1 species
GUGGCUCAGAGGUAGAGCACUUGCCUAGCAUGCAGGAGGCACUGGGUUCAAUACUCAGC